UGGGGUAGCUCAGUUGGUAAAGCAUGAGACUCGUAAUCUCAUGAGUCACGAGUUCAAGUCCCACAUUGGGCAAAA